rnacentral:rRNA from 1 species
UACAGAGGGUGCGAGCGUUGUCCGGAAUCACUGGGCGUAAAGGGCGCGUAGGUGGCGACCCAAGUCUGUGGUGAAAGCUCGACGCUCAACGUCGAGUCGGCCAUAGAUACUGGGUUGCUCGAGCACAGUAGAGGCAGGUGGAAUUCCCGGUGUAGCGGUGGAAUGCGUAGAGAUCGGGAAGAACAUCAGUGGCGAAGGCGGCCUGCUGGGCUGUUGCUGACGCUGAGGCGCGACAGCGUGGGGAGCAAACGAGG